rnacentral:rRNA from 1 species
GACGAACGCUGGCGGCGUGCUUAACACAUGCAAGUCGAACGAAGUGGCGAACGGGUGAGUAACGCGUAAUCAACCUGCCCUUCAGAGGGGGACAACAGUUGGAAACGACUGCUAAUACCGCAUACUUAAGGAGGGGAUUGCGUCUGAUUAGCUAGUUGGAGGGGUAACGGCCCACCAAGACGAUGAUCAGUAGCCGGCCUGAGAGGAUGAACGGCCACAUUGGGCGUGCGACACGGCCCAGAAUCCUACGGGAAGCAGCAGUGGGGAAGUUUCCGCAAUGGACGAAAGUCUGACGGAGCAACGCCGCGUGAGUGAUGACGGCCUUCGGGUUGUAAAGAUCUGUUAAUCGGGACGCGGUACCGGAAUAGAAAGCCACGGCUAACUACGUGCCAGCAGCCGCGGUAAUUC